rnacentral:rRNA from 1 species
GUGUGUAGGCGGCCUGUUAAGUUCCGUGUGAAAUCUCCCGGCUCAACCGGGAGGGUGCGCGGAAUACUGACGGGCUAGAGUGCGGGAUGGGAGAGUAGAAUUCCUGGUGUAGCGGUGAAAUGCGUAGAUAUCAGGAGGAAUACCGGUGAUGUAGACGGCUCUCUGGACCGUAACUGACGCUGAGACACGAAAGCGUGGGUAGCAAACAGGAUUAGAUACCCUGGUAGUCCACGCCCUAAACGAUGCAUAUUUGGUGUAGGUCAUUCAGUUGAUCUGUGCCGGAGCUAACGCGUUAAAUAUGCCGCCUGGGGAGUACAGUCGCAAGGCUGAAACUCAAAGGAAUUGACGGGGGCCCGCACAAGCGGUGGAGCAUGUGGUUCAAUUCGACGCAACGCGAAGAACCUUACCUGGGCUCGAACGGCUGGUCAACGAUCGUGGAAACACGGUUACUCCGCAAGGGGGUCCAGUCGAGGUGCUGCAUGGCUGUCGUCAGCUCGUGUCGUGAGAUGUUGGGUUAAGUCCCGCAACGAGCGCAACCCUCGUCCUGUGUU